ACCAAAUCUAGGUCAAACAACCCCCACUUAUAGUUAAAAAGCUCUCAUUUUUCAACCAAAUCCAAACCCUAAACUGUGCCUCUCCCAAUUUCUUCUUCAUUUUUGAGGUUUGAAUAGAUCGAUCAAUUUCAGAGAAGUCACUCAAGGACUGGGAUUCCCUUCAACUCAAUGCUCUUUUUUGAUGAUGAGGAUAGGAACAUACAAGCUGUAAGAACGAGUUUUCCUAUAUUCUCAAUUUUCCUGUUCUUUUUUUUCUUUUUACUUUGCUCACUUGCUCGUAUUUUAUGACAUUCUAGAUUUUCAUUUUUUUUGAAACACCCAUGUCUAGCACUUGUAUCCAGUACAUAUAUGGAUAUGAAUAUGGUGGGAAUUUGACCCUCCUAGAUCUCUCCAAGCAUAUGAAGAACUUGGGAAAUUUGAGCAUGUGUUGGACAAAUACCUGUUUAGGAUAUUCACAUCUGAAUCUGAGUAACAUAAUUAGUAUUUCAUGGAGUCGGAUAUUAGGAUCUUACAUGUUUAUGCAUUGUGGUUUUAAGGAUCUUUUUACUUUUUCUUUGUUAUGGUUAUUGGUAAGGGUUGCCUUGGCAUUAUGCUUUGUUUCACUUAACAGUAUUAUCUAAUGUUGGCCCUUGGUCAUCGGUAUCAGAAAGAAACCAAGAUUGUUUUACAAAUUAUGUGGUGGAAACUUUUUGAAACCACAUUCAAUAUUAUAAAUUUAAAAUAGUCUUAUAUGUAUACCAUCUUUGAAUGUCGACUUCUACAGAAUCCUAUCAUAUGAUUCUCCCAAUGAUGCAGGUUAGUUAUUUUUCAACCAUUCUUACGAAGAAUGAAUUAAAGCUGAUUGUUUUUAUUUUUAUUUAUAAGUGAGGGGGUGUCCAAGAUGAAACUCAGUACAUAAAUGUUAAUCAUGACUUAAUUUUAACGGAUGCUUGGUUGGCUAUUAUUUUUUAUCUUUUUAAUUUCUCUUUUGUUAUGUCUGUUGGACUUGCAGCAGCAAUGCUACUAUUGUAAAACUCAGUACUUAAAUUCGGUUAUGGCCGGUCUAAAGGUUAUGGCUUUGUAAAGUUUGGUGAUGAAACUGAACAAAUUCGUGCAAUGACUGAAAUGAAUGGGAUUUAUUGUUCAACUAGGGCAAUGCGGAUUGGACCAGCUGCUAAUAAGAAGCCUGUCACUGAUCAGCAGUAUCAGAAAGGACAUCAAGAGGCUCUCAUUUUGGGGGGCCUGGAACUGAUAUCAGCUGAAAUGAUUCCACUUUAAUCUGUGGCCUCAUUGUGGAUUAAUUCCUUUUGAUGCUUGCAUACAUUUUGAGGUCCAUGGGAUUUCUGCAAAGUCCGAGACUAAUUAACCAAAACAGCAAAAAUUACGUAUUUGGAAUCGUGAAACGAAGAAAUUUGAGUGAAUUCGAUAUGUCAAAAUUGGGUAUUGGAUUUGAUGAUGAGAAAUCCGAAAGAAAAACAUCGGAAAAGGCAUUAGUUUUGUCUCAGAUUAACCUUUGAAAAAUAGACAUAUGGAUGUGCUGCUGUUUGAUUUCAUAGAAAAUAAGGAAACUAAAAAAAGGUAUGUUUUAGAUUAUUGCUCCUUUUGAUUAUUUAUAUUAUAAGAACUACAUUUGUUCAUUCAUAUGUUUUAGAUUAUUGCUCCUUUUGAUUAUUUAUAUUAUAAGAACUACAUUUGUUCAUUCAUAUGGAGGUUUUGCAGGCGCUACUAUGGCUAUUAUUUCAUGCUUCACGGCUUGAAACUGAAAUUACAAACUUUGAAUAAUAUGAUCUUAAUGGUGUAAUUUUGAAUUUCGUUGGAAACUUUAAUUUGUUAGAAUUUGAUCCUCUUAAUUUGCAAAAUUGGAAAUUUGAUCCUGUUUUUGGUGUAUACAUGCACUUGAACAGUUGGUUUUUGCUAAUUUGUUUUGAUCUCCGAUAGUUUAAAACUCUUAUUUACUUAAUGGUGUAAGUCUGAAUUUCAUUUGAAACUUUAUUUUGUUAGACUUCCAUCCUCUUAUUUUAUAAAAAUUGAAAAUUUAGUCUGGUUUUUGGUGAAUAUAUGAACUUGAAUUGUUAAUUUGUGCUAAUUUGUUGCAUUUAAAAUGUUAUAAAAUUGACAAGUUGGUCCGGUUUUUGGUAAAUACAUUAUACAUGAACUUGAACGGUUAAUUUUUGCUAAUUUUUGCAUGUAAAUUGUUGAAAUGAUGAUUUUUAUAUCUCCUUACAUAUUAAAUAUUGAAAUGUUCUACUAAUGUUACCUAAAAUGGGUUUAGGGUUUUAAAAUUGAAAAUUGAAAAUUUAGUCUACUUGUUGGUAAAUGCAUGAACUUGAACCAUCUAUUUUGCUAAUUUGUUGCAUAUAAGUUGUUAUAAAUAUUGAAAAAUUAGUCUGAUUUUUGGUAAAUACAUGAACUUGAACCAUUGAUUUUGUUAAUUUGUUGCAUAUAAAUCGUUAUAGAAAUUGAAGAUUUAGCCCUAUUGCCGGUAAAUAUAUGAACUAUGAAUAAUUGAUUUUUGGUAAUUUGUUUCACAUAAACUGUUGUAAGAUUGAUUUGUGUUAAUUUCUUGCAUAUAAAUUAUUGAAAUGUUGAUUUUGAUAAUUCCUUACAUAUUAAAUAUUGAAGUGUUGAUAUUCAAGCUAGUAAUUUAACAGUUGAUUGUUAGUUGCAUUGAAAGACACACAAUGACAAUUACUAAUUUGUUAACAAAGAUGUGAUUACUUUGGAAAAUUCAAUUAUUAUUAUGCUAUUGUUUGACGUGAUGGCUUUGUUGCAGUUCUUGUAUUACUAUAUAAGUGAUAGGUAAAUCUUGUGACACCCUUUCUUUCUUUGUUCACCUCACUUUAUAGCCUAUCUUUUUUCCCUCCUGCGUUGGAUCUUUUUUUUUUUAAAUCACAUGAUCUCAUAUUUCAAUUUCUUUUAAAAUUUAUUGGAAGAAUAAUGUGGUCUCAUUUGAUUGUUUCUCCUACCUAGUUCUUGCUUCUACUCGUAUUUCCUUUUGGAUGAAUAAAUUUAUUUGUUUAAUCUUCAUCAUCCUGUACAAUAUCAUGCUUGCAAGUUUCUGCUUUCCUCCUUAUUGCAGAUUUACUAUCUUGUUAUCCCUCUGUUAUUCUCCUUGAUGUGGAUAUUUCUUGUGAAGAAGUACUUACAUUUUGUUGUUUAUUCAUGCUUACAGGAUAGGAGCAAAUGGUUUGGAGAACUCCCUUGGGAAGAAAGUUUGCAGGAUGCACACGAGUUUGGAAAACUUGUUCUGUUUUAGAACUUGGAUCCAGCUUACUCUUCAGCAGAAGUGGAGGAUAUAGUUUGGAAUGCCUUCAAUGAAACUUGCAGAGCAAAGAUGGUGCAGCAGACUGCAUUGUAUUUUUUAUUACCUUGCAAUGUGUAUAGUCAUAGGCAAGUUCAACUAGUCAGUUUGUUUCUUAUAUGUAUUAUUUAUUUUAGUUUUGAUUCUAAAUUUUUAUUUUUACUUUAAUAUUUACGACAACUUGAGUUCUCACUUUUGGAUUUAA